rnacentral:rRNA from 1 species
AUUUUGCGCAAUGGGCGAAAGCCUGACGCAGCCAUGCCGCGUGAAUGAGGAAGGUCUUAGGAUUGUAAAAUUCUUUCACCGGGGACGAUAAUGACGGUACCGGGAGAAGAAGCCCCGGCUAACUUCGUGCCAGCAGCCGCGGUAAUACGAAGGGGGCUAGCGUUGCUCGGAAUUACUGGUCGUAAAGGGCGCGUAGGCGGACAUUUAAGUCAGGGGUGAAAUCCAAGAGCUCAACUCUGGAACUGCCUUUGAUACUGGCGAUCUUGAGUAUGAGAGAGGGAUGUGGAACUCCGAGUGUAGAGGUGAAAUUCGUAGAUAUUCGGAAGAACACCAGUGGCGAAGGCGACAUACUGGCUCAUUACUGACGCUGAGGCGCGAAAGCAUGGGGAGCGAACA